UCGAACGAACCUUUCGGGGUUAGUGGCGGACGGGUGAGUAACACGUGCGAACGUGCCUUUAGGUUCGGAAUAACUCAGGGAAACUUGUGCUAAUACCGAAUGUGCCCUUCGGGGGAAAGAUUUAUCGCCUUUAGAGCGGCCCGCGUCUGAUUAGCUAGUUGGUUGAGGUAAUGGCUCACCAAGGCGACGAUCAGUAGCUGGUCUGAGAGGAUGAUCAGCCACAUUGGGACUGAGACACGGCCCAAACUCCUACGGGAGGCAGCAGUGGGGAAUCUUGCGCAAUGGGCGAAAGCCUGACGCAGCCAUGCCGCGUGAAUGAUGAAGGUCUUAGGAUUGUAAAAUUCUUUCACCGGGGACGAUAAUGACGGUACCCGGAGAAGAAGCCCCGGCUAACUUCGUGCCAGCAGCCGCGGUAAUACGAAGGGGGCUAGCGUUGCUCGGAAUUACUGGGCGUAAAGGGAGCGUAGGCGGACAUUUAAGUCAGGGGUGAAAUCCCGGGGCUCAACCUCGGAAUUGCCUUUGAUACUGGGUGUCUUGAGUAUGAGAGAGGUGUGUGGAACUCCGAGUGUAGAGGUGAAAUUCGUAGAUAUUCGGAAGAACACCAGUGGCGAAGGCGACACACUGGCUCAUUACUGACGCUGAGGCUCGAAAGCGUGGGGAGCAAACAGGAUUAGAUACCCUGGUAGUCCACGCCGUAAACGAUGAUUGCUA
rnacentral:rRNA from 1 species